AACCAUAGAAACCUGCGGAGUACCUGCGGAGGGAUCAUUACAGAGUUGCAAAGCUCCCUAAACCAUUGUGAACGUUACCUAAACCGUUGCUUCGGCGGGCGGCCCGGGUCCUUCCCGGCGCCCCUCGGCCCUCGCGGGCGCCCGCCGGAGGUAAACCAAACUAUUGCAUUGUAUGGCCUCUCUGAGUCUUCUGUACUGAAUAAGUCAAAACUUUCAACAACGGAUCUCAGAUCGGAAGAG
rnacentral:misc_RNA from 1 species